CCUAUUAAACCUUAAAUACAUCAGAACACUUCCUCCAUUAUCUACCAAGUGGAAGCCGGCCGAGUUUAACUCAUAUUGAUCUCCUCUGCACCGUGAGGAUACAAACAAUGUGAUGAAAAAAUUGUGAAGAUACGUUUUUGCCCCUGGAUGCUCCCUACGGUUGACUUGAUGAUACAGCACCCACCCUCGCCAAAUUUCUUCUCUGACUUUGGGAGAUCAACAAUGACAGCUGCCCCACCCUGCUCUCCUCUUUGUACUGGGGAGGGGAAGCCACUUCAAGGAGCACAAGUGAAGAAAUGAGACACGAAAUGAGCCCCGUAUGACACGCAGCUUGGUGAAAAAACAAUGGAGGUGUGCGUGAAGGGGUGCUGAGUGUUUCUCUCUGCGUUUCUUUUUUGUUUCAGUAGCUUUAUUCUGUCCUGACUCCAUUCGGGUACAGUCAGAAUAGAGUACAACCCAAUAAAAAACUAUGGUCAGGCCCUGGCUGGGUAGCUCAGCUGGUUAGAGCAGCAUCCCAAUA